rnacentral:rRNA from 1 species
GACGAACGCUGGCGGCGUGCUUAACACAUGCAAGUCGAACGGAAAGGCCCUUCGGGGUACUCGAGUGGCGAACGGGUGAGUAACACGUGGGUGAUCUGCCCUGCACUUUGGGAUAAGCCUGGGAAACUGGGUCUAAUACCGAAUAGGACCACGCGCUUCAUGGUGUGUGGUGGAAAGCUUUUGCGGUGUGGGAUGGGCCCGCGGCCUAUCAGCUUGUUGGUGGGGUAAUGGCCUACCAAGGCGACGACGGGUAGCCGGCCUGAGAGGGUGACCGGCCACACUGGGACUGAGAUACGGCCCAGACUCCUACGGGAGGCAGCAGUGGGGAAUAUUGCACAAUGGGCGCAAGCCUGAUGCAGCGACGCCGCGUGAGGGAUGACGGCCUUCGGGGUGUAAACCUCUUUCAAUAGGGACGAAGCGCAAGUGACGGUACCUAUAGAAGAAGCACCGGCCAACUACGUG